rnacentral:lncRNA from 10 species
AAGAAAGAUAGGUCUGUCAGCGUAAUGGGAUAAAGCACCUAGUGUUUAUAAAAAUAAGAGUAUAGCACUUUGUGAACUUUGAGAAAUGUGAACGAACAUUGAUUGGUAAAAUGUCUAUUUUAUAACUGCAUUUAAAUCAUCUUGAAAGUUUGAAGAACAUGCACCACUUUAUUUAAGGAUGCCUUAAAUACAGAAUUUGCCAAGUAGUGAAAGCUGGAGAUGAAAUGUGGAGAGUCUUAUGGGUAUUUUGACCAACAAUGAAUCCAAUACUGAAAUGGAAGAGGCCAUAUUUGUCACCGAGUCUUAGACCCAAAGGAAAGUUUCUGCAUAUAGAGGACAAGCCAUAAUUGGGCAUUCCGUGAGACCUGGGAAGUGGAGCAUAGUGGCAGCUGCGUUCAAAAGAGAUAUGGAUUUUGGCAUCUUCUUCAAACUAGCUGUAGAAAUGGAGCUGCAUAUAGGCUGCUGCAAGGUUAAGCAAUUGCUCCUGAUUAUUUUCAACAAAC